GAUGGCCUGGAGCUACUUUGAUGGGAUGGAGAGUUGAGUCACGAUUCAUAUCUGAUCUCCAAGAUUCUUUAGUCAAUGCAGAGACAUUUACUGAGUGCCCCCUUCUGGGCACUAGAGGUGGGACACACAAGGCCUCUGACUUCCCGGAGCUCGUGUCCUGGUGGCAGGGGCGGUAGAUGGCUACAGAAGUCAGACAGCUUCAGAAGAGUAAGCGCACUGAGGAAAAUGAAAUGGGAUGGUGCCCUCGAGAAGGGGUGCCGAGAGCGGGGAACACAUGAGAGUGGCUGGGGAGGGACACCAGAAGGAACCAGCACUGCAGCCAACAGGGGAAAUGGUUUUCCUAGCAGAGGGAGCAGCUUAAGCAAAGACCCUGAGGUUCCAGGUGCCACUGCCACAGACUGACCUGGUGUGUCCCCGCCGGCUCCUCCGCCACGUCCCUCCUCUGGGCGUGUGACCCUGGCUGUGGCAAGGUCAGAGCAAGAAAGACGGACUGACCUUUGCUCCAGGAUAUUUGUCAGCUUCUCUCAGUGAAUAAACAGCUUUGCCGUCACCAA